CUGAGCUCUGCGACUGGGAAGCACUCCACACUGGGAGAUAUAUACCAGUGAAUGUGCAAAACUACAUGCAGUACAUGUAUAAGAUAUCCAGAGGCACAGGAACCGAAACUGAAGAAAACAUUUGUGGGGUUCCACAGAGACGGAAGCUGCCACUGGUCUGCACGUGUGAAUCCUGCUGGUGCACUUUGGAACUUGGAAGGAUAACCUGCUGCUUGCCCAUAAUGAAAGCUGAAUGUAAAACUGGCCAUAUUCAAAUUCCCAGUGCCCAGCAAACUGGGGUGUGGGGACUUAAGGCAGAAGAGAGGGGAAAAACCAGGUAAAGAUGUUGUUCUAUUUAUUUUACUUCUUAGAGUUGAUUAGAGUUGGGUGAAAAUGAUUAGCUGAAAGGAUUCAGAGUAAACCAAUUUAAAAUGUAAUUAUGAAGGGCUCAAGAUAGCGUGUGUGCAUAAUUAUGUUUCUUGCCUGUGUGCACUGUACUCGGUGAUUUUGUUCUGCAGAGAAUGGAAGGGGGAGGCCGGGUGUUGUGGUGUGGCAGCUGCCAGGCUGUUCUUGAUGGCCUCACCCUGCAUCCAGAAGUACUCUGCUGGCCAGCAAUAGGCUGAGCACCCAACCUGUGCAGCCAUGGAAAGGACAGUGGGCUGCAAUGGAGGAGUGGUAGGGGGCUAAAAUUCACUUGGUCAUUGGAUGUGUGAAGGGGAUGGACUGCGGGCCACAAUAUCAGGCAAGAAUGUCUGGGUUAGGCAGUGAGUGAGCUGUGCAUGGUGGUGUGCUUUGGACAGAAGGCAGAAGGAUGCUCUGGGUGACUCACGCAGCUGCCAUGAGGCCUCCCCUCAGCCUCCUCUGGAGGAACUGAUCCAACCAUUAGCUGAACCUGCACGGCUCUAGAAAAUAAGCAGCGUUGAUCCAUGUUGUUUUGUUGUUCCUUUUUGCUCUUUGAGUGUCUGCUUUCCGUAACUGGCCUUCACUGGCUUGAAAGCUGCUCAGGCAGCAGUGUUCCUCUAGUCUUCAAAGCCUGUCUUGUGCAGCCAGAAUGCAGCUGGCAGCCAUGCCCACACUUAGGACAUGGUUGCUGACAUUUCUGGAUGUGGGCUGCAAGAUAAAGAUGUUCUGCUGGGACAGGCACACUUUCAUAGCAAGAAAUCCCUGUUUCUCUUCUGUCCUUUGGUCGGUACUGGUGUAUUUCUGAGGUUCCUGGUGAUUUUUCAGCACAAACAGCUAAUCCUUUUCCUCUUUAAUCAUUCAGUCUGCACCGAUUUGUGAAUAAAGGCCUAGAGAGACCAGAACUUCA
rnacentral:lncRNA from 1 species